UGGGGGAAUAUUGCACAAUGGGGGGAAACCCUGAUGCAGCGACGCCGCGUGAGCGAAGAAGUAUUUCGGUAUGUAAAGCUCUAUCAGCAGGGAAGAUAAUGACGGUACCUGACUAAGAAGCCCCGGCUAACUACGUGCCAGCAGCCGCGGUAAUACGUAGGGGGCAAGCGUUAUCCGGAUUUACUGGGUGUAAAGGGAGCGUAGACGGCAAGGCAAGUCUGAUGUGAAAACCCAGGGCUUAACCCUGGGACUGCAUUGGAAACUGUCUGGCUCGAGUAUCGGAGAGGAAAGCGGAAUUCCUAGUGUAGCGGUGAAAUGCGUAGAUAUUAGGAGGAACACCAGUGGCGAAAGCGGCUUUCUGGACGACAACUGACGCUGAGGCGCGAAAGCCAGGGGAGCAAACGGGAUUAGAUACCCUGGUAGU
rnacentral:rRNA from 1 species